rnacentral:rRNA from 1 species
UACGUAGGGUGCAAGCGUUGUCCGGAAUUAUUGGGCGUAAAGAGCUCGUAGGCGGUUUGUCGCGUCUGCUGUGAAAACCCGAGGCUCAACCUCGGGCCUGCAGUGGGUACGGGCAGACUAGAGUGCGGUAGGGGAGAUUGGAAUCCUGGUGUAGCGGUGGAAUGCGCAGAUAUCAGGAGGAACACCGGUGGCGAAGGCGGGUCUCUGGGCG